rnacentral:rRNA from 1 species
AAUGAACCGGCGAGUUACGAUUUGAUGCAAGGUUAAGCAGUAAAUGUGGAGCCGUAGCGAAAGCGAGUCUGAAUAGGGCGUUUAGUAUUUGGUCGUAGACCCGAAACCAGGUGAUCUACCCUUGGUCAGGUUGAAGUUCAGGUAACACUGAAUGGAGGACCGAACCGACUUACGUUGAAAAGUGAGCGGAUGAACUGAGGGUAGCGGAGAAAUUCCAAUCGAACCUGGAGAUAGCUGGUUCUCUCCGAAAUAGCUUUAGGGCUAGCCUCAAGUGAUGAUUAUUGGAGGUAGAGCACUGUUUGGACGAGGGGCCCCUCUCGGGUUACCGAAUUCAGACAAACUCCGAAUGCCAAUUAAUUUAACUUGGGAGUCAGAACAUGGGUGAUAAGGUCCGUGUUCGAAAGGGAAACAGCCCAGACCACCAGCUAAGGUCCCAAAAUAUAUGUUAAGUGGAAAAGGAUGUGGCGUUGCCCAGACAACUAGGAUGUUGGCUUAGAAGCAGCCAUCAUUUAAAGAGUGCGUAAUAGCUCACUAGUCGAGUGACACUGCGCCGAAAAUGUACCGGGGCUAAACAUAUUACCGAAGCUGUGGAUUGUCCUUUGGACAAUGGUAGGAGAGCGUUCUAAGGGCGUUGAAGCAUGAUCG